CCGUCCUCUGCCUCGCUCGAUCCAUGAUCCCUCCUCCAUUCAUAGAUCUAGAGCUGGAUUACUGUCGUACCUCCCCACAAGGUUGGUGCCCCGUAACAGGACAAGAGUAAACACAUAUAUGGCUUCCUCGAUUUGAGUACGUUCCUGCCCAUAGCGAGGUACGUAAUUAUCGACGAUACAAUU
rnacentral:snoRNA from 1 species